CCUACGGGAGGCUGCAGUGAGGAAUAUUGGUCAAUGGACGAGAGUCUGAACCAGCCAAGUAGCGUGCAGGAUGACUGCCCUAUGAGUUGUAAACUUCUUUUAUAUGGGAAUAAACUGCUCCACGUGUGGGAUUUUGUAUGUACCAUAUGAAUAAGGAUCGGCUAACUCCGUGCCAGCAGCCGCGGUAAUACGGAGGCUCCGAGCGUUAUCCGGAUUUAUUGGGUUUAAAGGGAGCGUAGGUGGAUUGUUAAGUCAGUGGUGAAAGGUUGCGGCUCAACCGUAAAACUGCAGUUGAUACUGGCAGUCUUGAGUACAGUAGAGGUAGGCGGAAUGUGUGGUGUAGCGGUGAAAUGCUUAGAUAUCACGAAGAACACCGAUUGCGAAGGCAGUUCACUGGACUGCAACUGACACUGAGGCUCGAAAGUGUGGGUAUCAAACAGGAUUAGAUACCCUAGUAGUC
rnacentral:rRNA from 1 species